rnacentral:lncRNA from 1 species
CCUUGCACCCGCCAUAAUCGGAGUCUGCUUAUCCAAUUAAGUCAAAGGUAGACCCCUUUGGAUACCAGAUCCUGAAGCAAGGUGUAGCAACUAAAUAUCUAAGAAUUCGCUUAACGGCCACAAGGUGACAUUCCUUGGGGUCGGAUUGAUAUCUAGCACACAUGCAUACACUUAGCAUAAUAUCCGGUCUACUAGCACAAAAAUAAAGCACUGAACCUAUCAUGGACCGGUAUGCCUUUUGAUCAACGGACUUACCUCCUUUGUUGAGGUCGACGUGCUCGUUGGUUCCCGUAGGUGUCUUUGUGGGCUUGGCGUCCUUCAUCCCAAACCUCUUGAGAAGGUCUUCAGUGUACUUCGUUUGGGAGAGGAAGGUGCCAUCCUUGAGUUGCUUCACUUGGAACCCAAGGAAGUAGGUCAACUCGCCCAUCAUCGACAUCUCAAACUUUUGAGUCAUCACCCUGCUAAACUCCUCACAAGACUUUUGAUUAGUAGAAUCAAAUAUUAUGUCAUCGACAUAAAUUUGGCACACAAAAAGAUCACCGUCACAAGUCUUAGUGAAAAGAGUGGGAUCGGCUUUCCCAACCUUGAAAGCAUUAGCAAUUAAGAAAUCUCUAAGGCAUUCAUACCAUGCUCUUGGGGCUUGCUUAAGUCCAUAGAGCACCUUAGAGAGCUUAAAAACGUGGUCGGGAUACCUGUCAUCCUCAAAACCAUGGGGUUGUUCCACAUACACCUCCUCCUUGAUUGGCCUGUUGAGGAAAGUGCUCUUCACAUCCAUUUGAAACAACCUGAAAGAGUGGUGAGCGGCAUAGGCUAAUAAUAUUCGAAUAGACUCUAGCCUAGCCAUAGGGGCAAAGUCUCCUCGAAAUCCAAACCUGUGACUUGGGCAUAACCUUUUGCCACAAGUCGAGCCUUGUUUCUUGUCACCACUCCGUGCUCGUCUUGCUUGUUGCGGAACACCCACUUGGUUCCCACAACAUUUUGCUUUGGACAUGGCACCAGGCUCCAAACUUCAUUCCUCUUGAAGUUGUUGAGCUCUUCCUGCAUGGACAACACCCAGUCUGGAUCCUACAAGGCCUCUUCUACCCUGAAAGGCUCAAUAGAAGAGACAAACGAGUAAUGCUCACAAAAAUUAGCUAAACGUGAGCGAGUUGUUACUCCCUUGCCUAUGUCACCCAGUAUCUGAUCGACGGGGUGAUGUCGUUGGAUCGUCGCUCGGACUUGAGUUGGAGGGGCCCGUGGUGCUUCUUCCUCCAUCACUUGUUCUUCCUGUGCUCCCCCUUGAUCCUGUCCUUCUUCUUGAGGUACCUGUUCACCGUCUUGAGUUGGGGAUUGCACCAUUGUGGAGGAAGAUGGCUGAUCUUGCUCUUGUUGUUCCUAUGGUCGAAUAUCACCUAUCGCCAUCAUGCGUAUUGCGGCCGUUGGAACAUCAUCUUCAUCUACAUCAUCAAGAUCAACUUGCUUUCUUGGAGAGCCAUUAGUCUCAUCAAAAACAAUGUCGCUAGAGACUUCAACCAAACCCGAUGAUUUGUUGAAGACUCUAUAUGCCCUUGUAUUUGAGUCAUAUCCUAGUAAAAACCCUUCUACUGCCUUGGGAGCAAAUUUAGAAUUUCUACCUUUCUUCACUAGAAUGUAACAUUUGCUCCCAAAUACACGAAAGUAUGAGACGUUGGGUUUGUUACUGGUAAGAAGUUCGUACGAGGUCUUCUUGAGGAGGCGAUGUAGGUAGAGCCGGUUUAUGGCGUGGCAAGCUGUGUUCACAGCUUCCGACCAAAACCGCUCUGGUGUCUUGAACUCUCUAAGCAUUGUCCUCGCCAUGUCGAUAAGCGUCCUGUUCUUCCUCUCUACCACACCGUUUUGCUGUGGUGUGUAGGGAUGUCACACCCGGUUUUAGAAGGUAAACCGAAUGUGAACCAUGUACGUGCCAGGAUCAGUAAUUCACGUACACAGCGAUUACAUAAAUGACUCAUCAUAGCACAAUGCUUCGAAUUACAAUAAAGAGUAAGUAAUAAUAUUACAGACUAGAGCCAUUUACAUAAUAUAAAUCAAAGUACACAGAAUCGAAACGUAGCCAACGUAAACAACCCACCACAGGCAGCUGACUGGGGGAGGUCGCUAGCCUAAUCCUCGAACUCAUCAAAGUCCUGGAACUCCUGGAGAUCCGCCUCGACACCUUCUUCUUUACCUGAGCAUAGAUUGCACCAAAGGCAACCUGGUGUUUUGUGAAAGCAAGGGUGAGUACACAUCAACGUACUCAGCAAAUGUCCCGUUUGGCUAGAGUGGACUAGCUUUAUGUGGGGUUAAGUCGAGCAGUUGCUUUUAGUUGAUCAGGUUAUUAUUACUAGUAGAAAGCCAGGUUUUAGCAUUAACCCAAGUUAUUAACCCAAAGUACCCUUUCCAAACGGAAAGAAUACCACUUACCAUUACUAUAAGCAUAAUCAUAAUCAUCCUCCUCAUCAUCAUCUGUAAACAAACCAUCUCUGAUCAGGUAUCACUAAUCAAUGGAGCUCCCUUGGCCGCUCAUAACCGCGAGCACGGCUGAUAUAUCAGUUUCAUAACACUCUGCAGAGGUUGCGCACUUUACCCACAAGCCAUGAUUCCCUCUCUAGCCCGGGCUUGCAAGACCCUUAUUCACUCCCGAGGUGAAUGGUCAGGGAUUCACUACGAAGCCUUUACAAAGAUUCCCUGAGGUUGUAGCCGCCCGUUAGGUUUCCUAAAUGUACCGCACUCCUCCUCAAGGGGCAAACCAACCUUGGCAGAGCGAGCCGCAUACACCGAGCCCCAUUGACGGCACGAUGGCGAAGCGAACUACACCUCAGUUCCUCUAAUUAUUCAGCUAAGGGCGUCCAACUCCGCCCUCAUGGUUGCAUUGUUUUCCCGGGCGGUCAUCCAACGAACAGGUCCUUAUGGAGAGGCACUCGAGAAACAGCUCGAGCCCCCUUAAAUGUCACAGUACCAUCAUCAUAAUCAAAAGGGAAAACAGCGUAUCAUAGAUAAUCUCAUCAUGUUCAUUGAUUAAUGUGAAGCACUAGCAUAAAGCUAAACUAUAAUAACCCAACCAAAAUAGGUAGAUAAGGACAAGAUAAACAAAAGCUAGUCAAUCCUUAGGUAUGAAGUGUGUAAAUGCGGGGAGUGAGUUAUAAGAAUGAGUAGGACAUAGAUGGGUCAAGGGACACUUGCCUUCACCAAACAGAUGCUCAGGGUCUUCAUUCUGUAGAACUCGAAGAGCUAGAUCACUUGGUCGCCAACUCUUCGAUCCCUCGAAGCUUGGAAACGGAUCGCAAACUACUCGCAACGCGAAGCGAAGACGAACAGGCACAAGCAAACAAACACAUAUAUAUAUGCAUAAGAACAUUACACCAUACAAGAUAAAAUGUUAUAAAAACAUGCAACAUAAAAUAGAGCUCGACACUACGGUCACGCGAGGAAAAGAAACGUCGAACUCGAAGCUACGGUUGAGAAGAUAUCGCGUUUACGCUAAACAAGUAUUGACUAUAACAUUUAGUUCGACAUGAUUAUAUUAAUCUACCUUUAUUAAAUGUAGAUUAAAACUACUACUUUAUUCUGACUGAAAUACUAUUUUAAUAGUUAAUGAUUACCCAAACAGCUAAUUAACUGACCUGAGCCAAAAUAGGCGAACCGCCUAAUCUCGCGCGCGGACAACGCGCGAAAUAUGUGUGACGACACGCGACACUAUGUGAAACAGCGCGAGGACGGCAUGCGGAACAACACACAUGACAGCGCAUGUCACGCGCGAGUCAACGCGACUACACGAGUGAACAACACGAUGCCGCGCAAGACUCACGAGAGUCGCUAACAGACGUCGUGUUUAUACUAAACACUUAUUAAUUAAAACAUUUGAAUAGGCACUAAUCACAUUAACUUGUAUUUAUAAAAGCACAAAUAAACUAUAAACUAGUUUUAUUUAAAUUGUUAUUCUAAUAAAUAUCGGAUGAACAAAUAAUUAACUAAUUAAUUAAAACUUGUGUCAUGACAAAAUAAUGUUACUAAUAUAUUGACGACAUUAUUAUUAAGCUAACGAUAUGUAAUGAAUCGAAACUGAAUCGUAACACAGAAUAUAUUGAAUAACUAAUAGCUCAUAGAUUAUUUACGAAGUGGCGCACGUGAUUGGUCGGAGCUAAAUCACAUGAAGGGCUAUGGAGUUUGCAGCCAUAGAAGAUCACCGUGAGGGAGUUUUGUAUUGGAUGUCGACACAUGCAGGGAAUCAUGUGUGUGGGGGCUGGGAAGCCUGCUGGUCGGCUGGUCAGGUCGCUACCAGCUUGACAGUGCAGGCUCGCUGACUCGGCUGGCCACGGCUAGGGAGCAGGGCACGCACGCCGGCAAGGAGGCGAGCAGCGCGCGCCAUGGGAGAGGUCGGCCGCCGCUGCAGGACAGCAAGGGUACAGGGGUGGGGCGACAUCGGUGGGAGGAGGGCCAGCAGGCUGGCCGCACUAGGCCUCUGACCGCGCCUGUUGGCCGCGCAGGGGGCACGAAGGGGCUAGGGACGAGCAGUGGCAGGGGGCCAUGGCUACUCGGCCGGCGAGCAGCAGCGAUCGCUAGGCGCGGGGUCAGGGACGACCAGACUUGGAGCGGCUGGGCGCAACGAGGACUCGGUCACAGCCUUACUGGGCGCACGCGGGAGGGGCUGGACGCAGCUCGCACCGAAGCUUGGCGCGGCGGCUCGUCUACGGUCGCGUAGCAGCGCGCGCGAGCUGGACGGCUGGCGAGCGCACGCCAGGGGCAGGCAUGGCUAGCGCGCGGGCGUUGAGGAAAGCAGGGCAAGGUGCCCCCAUACUCCGAGGACGAGAUAGGAUCGAAGAAUUUUACGAGCACGGGCAACAAAUAGGAAAGGGAUGCACCUGGUGAUUCGACUCCUGUGGCGUUGUUUUGGUGUAGGAGAUGACACCGCCUCAGGUGAUGUCGUCGCCCUCGAGCCUCGGCUGCUUGGAUGGGCGCUCCUCCGGCGACGACGCAACACAGGGGAGGAAGGACGCAGGGGCGCGGGGUGCUGCUGCGUGGGAAGAAGAGAGAGCGGGUCUCGGCGGUUUUAGCGAGGGAAGAGGCGACGUGGGCGGCGGCUAGGCGUAGGACGUGCGGGAGCGACGGUUGGGGGAAGAUGAACAGGGCCGCGUGGGCCCCACCGGUCAGCUGUAGCGCGUGACCAUGCCCUAGGCCAGCUGCGGCGACUAGGUCGCGGACACGCAGGCGGGCCACGCGGGGAGCGGCGCGGCGUGGGCUGGGAGCUAGGCCAUGCUAGAAGCUGGGCCGCAGGGAGGAUUGGGAAGCGCUGGUUUUAUUUUCUUUAUUUCUUACUCUUGUUUUCUAUCUUCUAUUUAUGCUAUUUUCUUUUGAAUUCAACUUCAAAACACAAAUCUGCGGAUUACGUGAAUGCACAACUAGAAUAAAUCAACAUACAAAAAAAUGAUCCAGCAUGUCGUGCAACAAUCAUGACCCUUUUGGGUUUUAUUUUACUCGGCUUACAAUUAUAUAAAACAAAAUAACUCUUCACUAUUUAGGAAAAAGAAAAGAAAAGCAAGGAAAAGAGAGGGUAACACCUAAAUUUGGUGAGUAUUAGGAAAAGAAAUUUUAUACCCUCAAAUUCAGGGUGUUACAAAUCUAACCCCCUUAACAGAAUCUCGCCCUCGAGAUUCAAGGCGAGGCUAGCAAGAGAAUGAGAUUGGUUCAUUGGGUUUUUUUUCAUAACUUCUUUGACUCUGGCAACUUUAACUUGUGGACUAGUUUAUUUGACCUUCAGACGCUUGAGACCGAUCAAUGCAAUUCUUGAGGAUUUCUUGGACCUGUGGAUUACGACCCACACACGCUUUCGCUGCGCCACUCUGAUCUUGUUGGUUGAUGUUGAUCGCAUUGUCUUCAUUGGGGUUAACAGCUAACCCUCUUAACAGGAGCAUUGAUAUGCAUUUGGCGAAGAUGUUGCCGACUCCGAUCUUAAUUGGUUAAAAGGAGCUAGAGGCUGCCAACUGCAUAGGUGCGAGAGGAAAGAAUAUAGGUAGAAAAGGUAAGCAUAGAUGGGUUAAAGAGAGAAAAGGGAGAGCACCCAACUACCUAACUCUAUUGCACUCAGCUAGUAAACUGAUGUCAUUACGGACCUAAGGCCACAACACAUCAACACUCAUCACAAAGAAGCAAAUCGGUCAUCACACAAAGACAAACAACACAUGCAUAUAACAGCAAACAACUCGUUGCCAUACGUUAGUGUUAACUAGAUGGUGGUCUUUCCUUACAAAGGGGGAAACUACUCUCAGGCCAUCGAAAGGCAAGGGGAAUAAUAAGACAUGCAUGAUAGGGGCAUGAGCAUAAUAAAGGAUGGAGAUAAAGCAAGAAUUGUAACUGGCAAGGGAGAAAAUGCGACCAAGGUCAGGAUAGGUAAAACACCAUUCUCAAAUCGAGAUGGGAAAGAUGAUAUUUCAAAAGGUAGGCAUGAGAUAAACAUCAUGGAAAGAUCUAGAGAUUACAAAGAUAAGGUAGGUAACAGGCAAAAGCACACCCAAAAGAUCGAGUUAAGACAAGACUUGCAACGAGAUAGAAUAAAAGGGAACGAACAAGAGUGACAUGGGUAAGACAACACUCUUGAACCGAAAUGGGAAAGGAGGCUUUAAAAUGAAGGUGCAGGAUAAACAUCAAGGUAAAAGAUCGAGGGAUGACAAGGGUUAAGGUGAUAACAGACAAACACACAACCAAGGAUGUAUUUUUAGACAAAACUUGCAAGGCGUCAAAGAAGGGGGAGCAGUCAAUGGUGAAAUAGGUGAGACAUUAUCCUCGAACAAGGAUGGAAAAGAGAAGGCCUUAAAGGGGAGGUUCAAAGUAAGCAUGAAGGUAAGGGCUUAGAUAUCACAAGGGUUUGAGGGUGAUAACGGACAAGAAUGCAGGAGGGGAGGUAAAUGGGCAUAAGAACCAAGGAUAUAAAUACCACAAAGGAUGGAGUUAAGAUAGGACCUGCAAAUGGAAAAGGAGAGGGUACGUCCAAGGGCCAGACAGGUAAAUUGCCACUCUCAAAUUGAGGUAGAGGAGAGGAGAUCUUUGGAGAGCAAGAAUUAAGAUGAGUGUCAAAGCAAGGUUGAUAGGUGGCAAGGUGAGGGUGAUAGCAAGUAAAACACAUCAACGAAUGGAAUUAAGACAAAACUUGUAAGGCGACAAGGAGUGAAAAGAAAUCAAGGGAGAUAUGGGUAACUCGCAGCUCUCAAACUGGGUUGAAAGAAAGGGGAGGCUUUUAAAGGAUAAGUUCAAGGUCAGCAUUUAGGUAGGAGACAUAAAUAUCGCAAGGGUCAGAGGCGAUAACAGACAAGGGUAUGAGAGAAAAGAUGAAGGCAUUGAAGAGACAGUGGUAUGAGUACAACAAAUAAUGGAGUCACGUCCAAUCUUACACAUGGUAAGGAAGAGGAUGUUGUCAAGGGUGAGAUAAGUAAAACACCGCUCCUGAACUAGGAUGGAAAGGAGAAGGAUCCAAAGGCUAGGUUCAAAGUAAGUGUCGUGGUAAAAAAUAUAGGUAUUACAAGGGUUGAAGGCGAUAAUAGAAAAGGGGGGGUAAGAGAAGAGGUAAAGGUAUAGAAGAACCAAGGGUAUGAGUACAACAAAGAAUGGCAUUAAUGCAAGAUUUGCACGUGGCAGAUAUGAGGUUAUGACCAAGCGUAGGGUAAGUAAAACACCACUCUCGAAUUGAGAGGGCAGAAAGGGGGUUUUACGUGGCACACAUACAACAACAUCAAGGUAGGAUCACAAAGGUAAAGGCGAUAGCAAACAAAACACAUUAACGAUGGGGUUGAAUGUUCAAGCGGCAGAUAAUAUGAUACAUCCAAGGGAAAAUGGGUAAAAUACAACUCUCAUUUGAGGUGGAAAAGGGAAGAUUUUAUAGGGUAGGUAUACAAUAGGCAACAAGGUGAUAUAUAGAGAUGACAAAGGUAAAGACGAUAUCAAUAAAAAGCAUGACAAAGGAUAGAAUUAAGGUAAGACUCGUGAGAUGGCAAGGUGGAAAAACAAUCAAGGGUAAGAUAGGUAGGGUUCCAACAGAAGAGUUAAAGUAAAAAUUUAUAAUAGAAGGAAGUUACAAGGAAACAACGAGGUUACCACAGAUGUGCAAAAAUGAAAUGACCGUUCAAAGAUCAUUAAGAAACAAGGGUGGUCAAGGACAUGUUAACUGAAAUGUCUUGAAUAGUCAUUGGGGUAUGAAGGUAAGCAUAUAUAAGAAUAUUAGUAUGCAAGAUUCCAAUGGUACGAGCGUACCAAGACCAAGGGAAUAGAAAAAGCUAAAAGAUAACGGCUUCACAACGGAAUAGGAAGGGGUCUCAGAAGACAAGAAGUUCACGGACAUAUAAACCAAAAUGUUUAAAUGGGGUACAGAGUUUUUAGAAGUAGGUAUUCGAAUUAAGGGAUAAGGGUAUUGAAGAGUCUAACAGUACGAGAAUGUCAAUACUAAGGGAAUAUGGAUCACUAAAUGGUAGAAAUUUAAUGAUGGACAAGGAAAGAAUCACAGAAGACCAAGAGGUUAUGGUCAAGGGACACCUACAAAGAUAUCGCAAGCACAAGGGUGAGAUCAGAUCUAAUAGAUUGAGAAAAGUAUAGAUCAUACUAGAAUAAAAUACUUUUAGCAAGGGGGCAUAUAGGAGCACAACAUAGAAUUAGUCAAGGUGACUAAUAUUUUGAAGCAGAAUCAAGGAUGAGGUGAAGUAAUAAUCAUUAAGUCCUUAAAACGGUCAAUGCUACUCUAGGUCAGCGGUCCUACAGUCAGCACGGCUUUGAUACCACUUAUGUCACACCCGGUUUUAGAAGGUAAACCGAAUGCGAACCAUGUACGUGCCAGGAUUAGUAAUUCACGUACACAGCGAUUACAUAAAUGACUCAUCAUAGCACAAUGCUUCGAACUACAAUAAAGAGUAAGUAAUAAUAUUACAGACUAGAGCCAUUUACAUAAUAUAAAUCAAAGUACACAGAAUCGAAACGUAGCCAACGUAAACAACCCACCACAGGCAACUGACUGGGGGAGGUCGCUAGCCUAAUCCUCGAACUCAUCAAAGUCCUGGAACUCCUGGAGAUCCGCCUCGACACCUUCUUCUUUACCUGAGCAUAGAUUGCACCAAAGGCAACCUGGUGUUUUGUGAAAGCAAGGGUGAGUACACAUCAACGUACUCAGCAAAUGUCCCGUUUGGCUAUAGUGGACUAGCUUUAUGUGGGGUUAAGUCGAGCAGUUGCUUUUAGUUGAUCAGGUUAUUAUUACUAGUAGAAAGCCAGGUUUUAGCAUUAACCCAAGUUAUUAACCCAAAGUACCCUUUCCAAACGGAAAGAAUACCACUUACCAUUACUAUAAGCAUAAUCAUAAUCAUCCUCAUCAUCAUCAUCUGUAAACAAACCAUCUCUGAUUAGGUAUCACUAAUCAAUGGAGCUCCCUUGGCCGCUCAUAACCGCGAGCAUGGCUGAUAUAUCAGUUUCAUAACACUCUGCAGAGGUUGCGCACUUUACCCACAAGCCGUGAUUCCCUCUCUAGCCCGGGCUUGCAAGACCCUUAUUCACUCUCGAGGUGAAUGGCCAGGGAUUCACUACGAAGCCUUUACAAAGAUUCCCUGAGGCUGUAGCCGCCCGUUAGGUUUCCUAAAUGUACCGCACUUCUCCCCAAGGGGCAAACCAACCUUGGCAGAGCGAGCCGCAUACACCGAGCCCCAUUGACGGCACGACGGCGAAGCGAACUACACCUCAGUUCCUCUAAUUAUUCAGCUAAGGGCGUCCAACUCCGCCCUCAUGGUUGCAUUGUUUUCCCAGGCGGUCAUCCAACGAACAGGUCCUUACGGAGAGGCACUCGAGAAACAGCUCGAGCCCCCUUAAAUGUCACAGUACCAUCAUCAUAAUCAAAAGGGAAAACAGCGUAUCAUAGAUAAUCUCAUCAUGUUCAUUGAUUAAUGUGAAGCACUAGCAUAAAGCUAAACUAUAAUAACCCAACCAAAAUAGGUAGACAAGGACAAGAUAAACAAAAGCUAGUCAAUCCUUAGGUAUAAAGUGUGUAAAUGCGGGGAGUGAGUUAUAAGAAUGAGUAGGACAUAGAUGGGUCAAGGGACACUUGCCUUCACCAAACAGAUGCUCAGGGUCUUCAUUCUGUAGAACUCGAAGAGCUAGAUCACUUGGUCGCCAACUCUUCGAUCCCUCGAAGCUCGGAAACGGAUCGCAAGCUACUCGCAACGCGAAGCGAAGACGAACAGGCACAAGCAAACAAACACAUAUAUAUGCAUAAGAACAUUACACCAUACAAGAUAAAAUGUUAUAAAAACAUGCAACAUAAAAUAGAGCUCGACACUACGGUCACGCGAGGGAAAGAAACGUCGAAUUUGAAGCUACGGUUGAGAAGAUAUCGCGUUUACGCUAAACAAGUAUUGACUAUAACAUUUAGUUCGACAUGAUUAUAUUAAUCUACCUUUAUUAAAUGUAGAUUAAAACUACUACUUUGUUCCCACUGAAAUAAUAUUUUAAUGGUUAAUGAUUACCCAAACAGCUAAUUAACUGACCUGAGCCAAAAUAGGCGAACCGCCUAAUCUCGCGCGCGGACAACACGCGAAAUAUAUGUGACGACACGCGACACUAUGUGAAACGGCGCGAGGACGGCAUGCGGAACAACACACAUGACAGCGCAUGUUACGCGCGAGUCAACGCGACUACACGAGCGAACAACACGAUGCCGCGCAAGACUCACGAGAGUCGCUAACAGACGUCGUGUUUAUACUAAACACUUAUUAAUUAAAACAUUUGAAUAGGCACUAAUCACAUUAACUUGUAUUUAUAAAAGCACAAAUAAACUAUAAACUAGUUUUAUUUAAAUUGUUAUUCUAAUAAAUAUCGGAUGAACAAAUAAUUAACUAAUUAAUUAAAACUUGUGUCGUGACAAAAUAAUGUUACUAAUAUAUUGACGACAUUAUUAUUAAGCUAACGAUAUGUAAUGAAUCGAAACUGAAUCGUAACACAGAAUAUAUUGAAUAACUAACAGCUCAUAGAUUAUUUACGAAAUGGCGCACGUGAUUGGUCGGAGCUAAAUCACAUGAAGAGCUAUGGAGUUUGCAGCCAUAGAAGAUCACCAUGAGGGAGUUUUAUAUUGGAUGUCGACACAUGCAGGGAAUCAUGCGUGUGGGGGCUGGGAAGCCUGCUGGUCGGCUGGUCAGGCCGCUACCAGCGUGACAGUGCAGGCUCGCAGACUCGGCUGGCCACGGCCAGGGAGCAGGGCACGCACGCCGGCAAGGAGGCAAGCAGCGCGCGCCAUGGGAGAGGUCGGCCGCCGCUUCAGGACGGCAAGGGUACAGGGGUGGGGCGACAUCGGCGGGAGGAGGGCCAGCAGGCUGGCCGCGCUAGGCCUCUGACCGCGCCUGUUGGCCGCGCAGGGGGCACGAAGGGGCUAGGGACGAGCAGUGGCAGGGGGGCAUGGCUACUCGGCCGGUGAGCAGCAGCGAUCGCUAGGCGUGGGGUCAGGGACGACCAUACAUGGAGCGGCUGGGCGCAACGAGGACUCGGCCACGGCCUUGCUGGGCGCACGCGGGAGGGGCUGGACGCAGCUCGCACCGAAGCUUGGCGCGGCGGCUCGUCUACGGUCGCGUAGCAGCGCGCGUGAGCUGGACGGCUGGCGAGCGCAUGCCAGGGGCAGGCAUGGCUAGCGCGCGGGCGUUGAGGAAAGCAGGGCAAGGUGCCCCCAUACUCCGAGGACGAGAUCGGAUCGAAGAAUUUUACGAGCACGGGCAACAAAGAGGAAAGGGAUGCACCUGGUGAUUCGACUCCUGUGGCGUUGUUUUGGUGUAGGAGAUGACACCGCCUCAGGUGAUGUCGUCGCCCUCGAGCCUCGGCUGCUUGGAUGGGCGCUCCUCCGGCGACGACGCAACACAGGGGAGGAAGGACGCAGGGGCGCGGGGUGCUGCUGCGUGGGAAGAAGAGAGAGCGGGUCUCGACGGUUUUAGCGAGGGAAGAGGCGACGUGGGCGGCGGCUAGGCGUAGGACGUGCGGGAGCGACGGUUGGGGGAAGAUGAACAGGGCCGCGUGGGCCCCACCGGUCAGCUGUAGCGCGUGACCAUGCCCUAGGCCGGCUGCGGCGACUAGGCCGCGGACACGCAGGCGGGCCACGCGGGGAGCGGCGCGGCGUGGGCUGGGAGCUAGGCUGUGCUGGAAGCUGGGCCGCAGGGAGGAUUGGGAAGCGCUGGUUUUAUUUUCUUUAUUUCUUACUCUUGUUUUCUAUCUUCUAUUUAUGCUAUUUUCUUUUGAAUUCAACUUCAAAACACAAAUCUGCGGAUUACGUGAAUGCACAACUAGAAUAAAUCAACAUACAAAAAAAUGAUCCAGCAUGUCGUGCAACAAUCAUGACCCUUUUGGGUUUUAUUUUACUCGGCUUACAAUUAUAUAAAACAAAAUAACUCUUCACUAUUUAGGAAAAAGAAAAGAAAAGCAAGGAAAAGAGAGGGUAACACCUGAAUUUGGUGAGUAUUAGAAAAAGAAAUUUUAUACCCUCAAAUUCAGGGUGUUACAAGGGAGCGGAGAACUCGUGCUUGAUGCCUUCCUCCUGAAGAUACUCCUCCACUUGCAGAUUCUUGAACUCGGAC